AAUGGCCCCGAGCUGGGUACUCGGGGCCUGCACUCAGAGGGUGGCGGUGGGAGGGGACUCACCGCC
rnacentral:sRNA from 20 species